GCCUGGGUGGCUCAGUCGGUUAGGCGUCCGACUUCGGCUCAGGUCAUGAUCUCACGGUCUGUGGGUUCGAGUCCCGCGUCAGGCU
rnacentral:tRNA from 1 species